CAGAGAGCUCACUAAAAUGUUAAUUAGGCAAAAACAGGAGGUAAAGAAAUAGCCAAUCAUCUAUUGCCUGAGAGCACAGCAGGAGGGACAAGGAUUGGGAUAUAAACCCAGGCAUUCGAGCCGGCAAUGGCAACCCCCUUUGGGUCCCCUCCCCUUGUAUGGGAGCUCUGUUUUCACUCUAUUAAAUCUUGCAACUGCACUCUUCUGGUCCAUGUUUGUUACGGCUGGAGCUGAGCUUUCGCUCGCCCUCCACCACUGCUGUUUUGCGGCCGUGGCAGACUCGCCACUGACUUCCAUUCUUCCGCAUCCGGCAGGGUGUCCCCUGUGCUCCUGAUCUAGCAAGGCACCCACUGCCAUUCCGGAUCGGGCUAAAUUAGGCUCGCCAUUGUUCCUGCAUGGCUAAGUGCCUGGGUUCGUCCUAAUCGAGCUGAACACUAGUCACUGGGUUCCACGGUUCUCUUCCGUGACCCACGGCUUCUAAUAGAGCUAUAACACUCACCCCAUGGCCCAAGAUUCCAUUCCUUGGAAUCCGUGAGGCCAAGAACCCCAGGUCAGAGAACACGAGGCUUGUCACCAUCUUGGAAGCAGUCCACCGCCAUCUUGGAAGCUGUGUGAGAAAGGACCCCCGAUCAGUUCUGCCCUGAAGACAGUUCACAACGUCAGACUACCCUUUGGUCUUGUGAGGCACAAUCAUUACAGAAAAAUGAGCAACAUCAUGAUGUGUCUGUAGUUAUUUCAUCGAGUCUGGCCGAUACUUAACAUUUCAAGGUACUUACUGGGCAUUGUGUAUUAUCUAAGUUAAAAAUUUACAAAGCCUGGUAGAUAUCUGGGAGUUAUGUUGAGUUUAAAAAUAAAGGAAAUUUUCCAUUCAUUAAGAGAAGAAUAAAAGUGUUUCUCAGUUUUAUGGUCGAGGCUGCCAGAUAGAAAUAAGCCCCAAAUUCUGCAAGGAAUCCAGCUGGAGCCCCGGAAAGAGCUUGUGUUAAGUGAUAGCCAAGCAGUUGGACAGAGUAGGAAUAACUGGUGAGUCUGAAGAUUCUACUUGUCCAGCUAGAUUAAGCAGAAAGAAAAUGGAAAGGAGUUGGGAAAUUAAUUUUUUAAGCUAUUUGAGAAUUUCACUGUACUUUUUGAAAUGACCAUAUUAAGAAAAUGUGUUUUGGCAAACGUGGUGAAAAAUAAGUAAUCCAAUAGCAGUCAUUUUCAUACAAUGUGUAUAAAAAGAAUAUCCCUU
rnacentral:lncRNA from 10 species